UACAGAGGGGGCAAGCGUUGUUCGGAAUUACUGGGCGUAAAGGGCGUGUAGGCGGAUAUUUAAGUCAGUGGUGAAAUCUCCGGGCUCAACCCGGAAACUGCCAUUGAUACUAUUUAUCUUGAAUUCUGUUGAGGUGGGCGGAAUACAUCAUGUAGCGGUGAAAUGCUUAGAUAUGAUGUAGAACACCGAUUGCGAAGGCAGCUCACUAACCAGACAUUGACGCUGAGGCACGAAAGCGUGGGGAUCAAACAGG
rnacentral:rRNA from 1 species